rnacentral:rRNA from 1 species
UACGGGAGGCAGCAGUGGGGAAUAUUGCACAAUGGGCGCAAGCCUGAUGCAGCCAUGCCGCGUGUAUGAAGAAGGCCUUCGGGUUGUAAAGUACUUUCAGUCGUGAGGAAGGUGUUAAGGUUAAUAACCUUAGCAAUUGACGUUAGCGACAGAAGAAGCACCGGCUAACUCCGUGCCAGCAGCCGCGGUAAUACGGAGGGUGCGAGCGUUAAUCGGAAUUACUGGGCGUAAAGGGCACGCAGGCGGUUAAUUAAGUUGGAUGUGAAAUCCCCGAGCUUAACCUGGGAAUGGCAUUCAAGACUGGUUAGCUAGAGUCUUGUAGAGGGGGUAGAAUUCCAUGUGUAGCGGUGAAAUGCGUAGAGAUGUGGAGGAAUACCGGUGGCGAAGGCGGCCCCUGGACAAGACUGACGCUCAUGUGCGAAAGCGUGGGGAGCAAACGAGGAUUAGAUACC